rnacentral:rRNA from 1 species
GGUUAAGUGACUAAGCGUACACGGUGGAUGCCUAGGCAGUCAGAGGCGAUGAAGGGCGUGCUAAUCUGCGAAAAGCGUCGGUAAGGUGAUAUGAACCGUUACAACCGGCGAUACCCGAAUGGGGAAACCCAGUGUGUUUCGACACACUAUCAUGUCAUGAAUACAUAGUGGCAUGAGGCGAACCGGGGGAACUGAAACAUCUAAGUACCCCGAGGAAAAGAAAUCAACCGAGAUUCCCCCAGUAGCGGCGAGCGAACGGGGAGGAGCCCAGAACCUGAAUCGGCUUGUGUGUUAGUGGAAGCGUCUGGAAAGUCGCGCAG